AGUCGGAUAAAUGGUCGCUCCUUUAUGGGUUGAAAGACCAAAGGAGAGGAAAGUCCGGGCUUCGCAGGGCAGGAUGCCGGAUAACGUCCGGUGGAGGCAACUCCAAGGAUAGUGCAACAGAGAUAUACCGCCGCCCCCUGGGCGGUAAGGGUGGAAAGGCGGGGUAAGAGCCCACCGAUUUUCUGGUAACAGGAAAUGCCAUGUAAACCCCAUCCGAAGCAAGACCGAAUAGAAAACAAUAACCUUGCCCGGGUUGUUUUCAGGUAGGUCGCUAGAGCCUGCCGGCAACGGCAGGAGCAGACAGAUGACCAUUCACGACAUAACCCGGCUUAUCGUCCGGCUCU
rnacentral:RNase_P_RNA from 1 species